rnacentral:rRNA from 1 species
GAAAACUUCACAAUGGGAGAAAUCCCGAUGAGGGAAUUCCAAGUGCUAGCACUAUGUGUUAGCUGUUCUUUUGUCUAAAAAACAGAAGAAGUAAGGGCCGGGUAAGACGGGUGCCAGCCGCCGCGGUAAUACCCGCGGCCCGAGUGGUGGUCGAUAUUAUUGAGCCUAAAACGUCCGUAGCCGGUCUUGUAAAUCCUUGGGUAAAUCGGCCAGCUUAACUGUCCGAAGUCCGGGGAGACUGCAAGACUUGGGAUCGGGAGGGGUCAGAGGUACUUCUGGGGUAGGGGUAAAAUCCUGUAAUCCUGGAAGGACCACCGGUGGCGAAGGCGUCUGACUAGAACGAAUUCGACGGUGAGGGACGAAGCCCUGGGGCGCAAACGGGAUUAGAUACCCCGGUAGUCCAGGGUGUAAACGCUGCGGGCUUGGUGUUGGGGGUCCUUUGUGGGCGCCCAGUGCCGGAGAGAAGUUGUUAAGCCUGCUGCUUGGGGAGUACGUCCGCAAGGAUGAAACUUAAAGGAAUUGGCGGGGGAGCAC